rnacentral:rRNA from 1 species
UACGAAGGGGGCUAGCGUUGUUCGGAAUUACUGGGCGUAAAGCGCACGUAGGCGGAUAUUUAAGUCAGGGGUGAAAUCCCAGAGCUCAACUCUGGAACUGCCUUUGAUACUGGGGUAUCUUGAGUAUGGAAGAGGUAAGUGGAAUUGCGAGUGUAGAGGUGAAAUUCGUAGAUAUUCGCAGGAACACCAGUGGCGAAGGCGGCUUACUGGUCCAUAACUGACGCUGAGGUGCGAAAGCGUGGGGAGCAAACAGGG